UACGUAGGGGGCGAGCGUUGUCCGGAUUUAUUGGGCGUAAAGAGCUCGUAGGCGGUUCGAUAAGUCGGAUGUGAAAUCUCCACGCUCAACGUGGAGGGGUCAUUCGAUACUGUCGUGACUCGAGUCCGGUAGGGGAGUGUGGAAUUCCCGGUGUAGCGGUGAAAUGCGCAGAGAUCGGGAGGAACACCCGUAGCGAAGGCGGCACUCUGGGCCGGUACUGACGCUGAGGAGCGAAAGCGUGGGGAGCAAACAGG
rnacentral:rRNA from 1 species